rnacentral:rRNA from 1 species
UUGAACGCUGGCGGCAUGCCUUACACAUGCAAGUCGAACGGUAGAGGAGCAAUCCUCGAGAGUGGCGAACGGGUGAGUAAUGUAUCGGAACGUGCCCAGUAGUGGGGGAUAGCCCGGCGAAAGCCGGAUUAAUACCGCAUGAGACCUGAGGGUGAAAGCGGGGGACUCGCAAGAGCCUCGCGCUACUGGAGCGGCCGAUAUCCGAUUAGGUAGUUGGUGGGGUAAAGGCCUACCAAGCCUGCGAUCUGUAGCGGGUCUGAGAGGACGACCAGCCACACUGGGACUGAGACACGGCCCAGACUCCUACGGGAGGCAGCAGUGGGGAAUUUUGGACAAUGGGGGCAACCCUGAUCCAGCAACGCCGCGUGAAUGAAGAAGGCCUUAGGGUUGUAAAGUUCUUUUGUCAGGGAAGAAAGUUUCUGUGCUAAUACCAUAGAACGAUGACGGUACCUGAAGAAUAAGCACCGGCUAACUACGU